rnacentral:rRNA from 1 species
GUUUAAAAGGGGAUAACAGACAUGCAAGUCGAGCGGAUGAGAGGAGCUUGCUCCUUGAUUUAGCGGCGGACGGGUGAGUAAUGCCUAGGAAUCUGCCUGGUAGUGGGGGAUAACGUUCCGAAAGGAACGCUAAUACCGCAUACGUCCUACGGGAGAAAGCAGGGGACCUUCGGGCCUUGCGCUAUCAGAUGAGCCUAGGUCGGAUUAGCUAGUUGGUGAGGUAAUGGCUCACCAAGGCGACGAUCCGUAACUGGUCUGAGAGGAUGAUCAGUCACACUGGAACUGAGACACGGUCCAGACUCCUACGGGAGGCAGCAGUGGGGAAUAUUGGACAAUGGGCGAAAGCCUGAUCCAGCCAUGCCGCGUGUGUGAAGAAGGUCUUCGGAUUGUAAAGCACUUUAAGUUGGGAGGAAGGGCAUUAACCUAAUACGUUAGUGUUUUGACGUUACCGACAGAAUAAGCACCGGCUAACUUCGUGCCAGCAGCCGCGGUAAUACGAAGGGUGCAAGCGUUAAUCGGAAUUACUGGGCGUAAAGCGCGCGUAGGUGGUUCGUUAAGUUGGAUGUGAAAGCCCCGGGCUCAACCUGGGAACUGCAUCCAAAACUGGCGAGCUAGAGUACGGUAGAGGGUGGUGGAAUUUCCUGUGUAGCGGUGAAAUGCGUAGAUAUAGGAAGGAACACCAGUGGCGAAGGCGACCACCUGGACUGAUACUGACACUGAGGUGCGAAAGCGUGGGGAGCAAACAGGAGUAGAUACCCUGGUAGUCCACGCCGUAGACGAUGUCAACUAGCCGUUGGGUUCCUUGAGAACUUAGUGGCGCAGCUAACGCAUUAAGUUGACCGCCUGGGGGAGUACGGCCGCAAGGUUAGAACUCAGAUGAAUUUGACGGGGGGCCCGCACAAGCGGGUGGAGCAUGUGGUGUUAAUUUCGAAGCAACGCAAAAGAGCCUUACCUGGCCUUGGACAUGCUGAGAACUUUCCAGAGAUGGAUUGGGUGGCGUUCGGGAACUCAGACACAGAUGCUGCAUGACUGUCGUCAGCUCGUGUCGUGAGAUGUUGGGAUUAGUCCCUAUACGAGCAGCAAACCCUUGAUCCUUAGGUACUAGCACGUAAGUGAUGGCGCCUCUAAGCGCAGACUGACCAGAUGACGAACCGGACCGACCCGUGAGGGGAUGGACGUGCAGGUCAUCAUGCCCUAACGGGGGCAAGGACUAGCCCACGUGACUAACAAAUGGGUCUCGGGGUACCGAGA